GGCCUCGUAGCUCAGUUAGCUAGAGCGUUGGCUGUAGUCUUCCCAUUACUGACGUGGGUACGAAUCCCACCGAUACUG
rnacentral:tRNA from 1 species